rnacentral:rRNA from 1 species
GUGUCAGCAGCCGCGGUAAUACGUAGGUGGCAAGCGUUGUCCGGAUUUAUUGGGCGUAAAGCGAGUGCAGGCGGCUCGAUAAGUCUGAUGUGAAAGCCUUCGGCUCAACCGGAGAAUUGCAUCAGAAACUGUCGAGCUUGAGUACAGAAGAGGAGAGUGGAACUCCAUGUGUAGCGGUGAAAUGCGUAGAUAUAUGGAAGAACACCGGUGGCGAAGGCGGCUCUCUGGUCUGUUACUGACGCUGAGGCUCGAAAGCAUGGGUAGCGAACAGGAUUAGAAACCCCUGUAGUCC